GGCUUGGUUAUCUUGCCCUAGGGGCCUCUGGAAAUGGGACAGAAAAGUUUCUCACUUUGGGGACAAACCAGGGAAGCCUGAUUUGUUGCUGAUACACAGGGUGGUCUCUGUCAACGUUCAGAAGUUCUGGACCCAGCCAAUGGUAGGAAACUUUGUCUGUGCCUUAAACAUUUUCAUAGGUCAAAUAAAGAAUUGGUUAAACUAAAUAUCCCUGGCACACCUUUGUGGGGGCAAUGCUGAGAACAUGAAGAAGGAAUGUGUGUGGAGAAAAGGGGAGGCUUCCCUGGCUUGCCUUAAGGGAUGAAGGCUGGGGUUGGGACAGAUGAUGGGUCAAGCCUGGGAUCUUCUCAGCAUCUUGACUGGAGAUGGGCACCUCUACCUCUACCUCUGAUGGGAAGCCAGCUAGGGUGGGGGCGAUAGGGUCAGCGGGUAUGUCCCACUGUUGGAGGUCACUGGUAUUCUGUUUGUUUUUGUUUUGUUUUGUUUCGUUUUGUUUUUUGAGACUGGGUCUCAUUCUGUCACUUAGCUGGAGUGUGGUGGCGUGAUCAUGGCUCACUGCUAUUCUUGAAGCACUCCACCCACCUGGGCUACUUUUUCUUUAGUGCAGAGGUGCACUGUCUUCUUUUAGGUGGGAUCGCAUAAGCAUGAGCUGGUAGAGCACAGAGAGGCAGGCAGCCACUGGGUUUGCUGCUGGCAGGUCCCUUCCUCUGAGACUGAGCUCCUCUCAUGAAGGGAUGAGUGCCAUUCUAUUCUGUGCAAAAUUUCCCUGACUUCUUAGCUUAUUUGAUCUGGAGAGACAUGGUUGGGGGGGUAUGCUGACUAGAUGAUAAGUGGGUGUUGGGGUGACAAUGAAAAUUAGAUACCAAUAUAUACAAGACUUUUGAAUACGUUAAGGGAAACAUUUUAUUUAAUUAUUUUAAUGAAUUUGUUUUUAAGACUGGGUCUUGCUAUGUUGUUCAGGCUGCCCUC
rnacentral:lncRNA from 1 species